CCUACGGGAGGCAGUAGUAGGGAAUCUUCCACAAUGGGCGAAAGCCUGAUGGAGCAACGCCGCGUGGGUGAAGAAGGUCUUCGGAUCGUAAAACCCUGUUGUUAGAGAAGAAAGUGCGUGAGAGUAACUGUUCACGUUUCGACGGCAUCUAACCAGAAAGCCACGGCUAACUACGUGCCAGCAGCCGCGGUAAGACGUAGGUGGCAAGCGUUAUCCGGAUUUAUUGGGCGUAAAGGGAACGCAGGCGGUCAUUUAAGUCUGAUGUGAAAGCUUUCGGCUUAACCGGAGUAGUGCAUUGGAAACUGGGAGGCGUGAGGGCAGAAGAGGAGGGUGGAACUCCAUGUGUAGCGGUGAAAUGCGUAGAUAUAUGGAAGAACACCGGUGGCGAAGGCGGCUCUCUAGUCUGUAACUGACGCUGAGGUUCGAAAGCGUGGGUAGCAAACAGGAUUAGAUACCCUAGUAGUC
rnacentral:rRNA from 1 species